GACGAACGCUGGCGGCGUGCCUAAUACAUGCAAGUCGAACGCAGUGGGGACGGGUGAGUAACACGUGGGUAACCUCCCAUCAGAGGGGAUAACACUUGGAAACAGGUGCUAAACCGAUACUGAUGGAUGAACCCGCGGUGCAUUAGCUAGUUGGUGAGGUAACGGCUCACCAAGGCCACGAUGCAUAGGCCACCUGGGAGGGUGAUUGGCCAACCCGGGAAUGGGAAAAGGGCCAGAAUCCCACGGGAAGCAGCAGGAGGGAAUCUUCGGGAAUGGGAGGAAGGCUUACCGGGCAAAGCCGCGUUGGUGAAGAAGGUUUUUCGAUCAUAAAGAAUCGUUUGUAGAGAAGCGGUAACUAACCAGAAAGGGACGGCUAACUACGUGCCAGCAGCCGCGGUAAUUC
rnacentral:rRNA from 1 species